rnacentral:tRNA from 1 species
AAGGAUUUAAGUUAAAUAAACUUUUAACCUUCAAAGUUAACAAUGGAUUAUGUCUAAGCCUUA